rnacentral:rRNA from 1 species
CUACGGGUCGCAGCAGUGAGGAAUAUUGCACAAUGGGGGGAACCCUGAUGCAGCAACGCCGCGUGGAAGAUGACGCAUUUCGGUGUGUAAACUCCUUUUAUAUGUCAAGAAAAUGACGGUAGCAUAUGAAUAAGCACCGGCUAACUCCGUGCCAGCAGCCGCGGUAAUACGGAGGGUGCAAGCGUUACUCGGAAUCACUGGGCGUAAAGGACGCGUAGGCGGGUUGGAAAGUCAGGUGUGAAAUCCUACAGCUUAACUGUAGAACUGCACUUGAAACUUCUAAUCUAGAGUAUGGGAGGGGGAGAUGGAAUUAGUGGUGUAGCGGUAAAAUCCGUAGAUAUCACUAGGAAUACCUAAAGCGAAGGCGAUCUCCUGGAACAUUACUGACGCUAAGGCGUGAAAGCGUGGGGAGCAAACAGGAUUAGAUACCCCGGUAGUC